GGAGGGUGCAAGCGUUAUCCGGAUUUACUGGGUUUAAAGGGUGUGUAGGCGGGCUAUUAAGUCAGUGGUGAAAUCUCCGAGCUUAACUUGGAAACUGCCAUUGAUACUAUUAGUCUUGAAUUUUGUUGAGGUAGGCGGAAUAAGUCAUGUAGCGGUGAAAUGCUUAGAUAUGACUUAGAACACCAAUUGCGAAGGCAGCUUGCUAAACAAACAUUGACGCUGAGGCACGAAAGCGUGGGGAUCAAACAGGAUUAGAUACCCUGGUAGUCCACGCCCUAAACGAUGAUUACUCGACAUACGCGAUACACAGUGUGUGUCUGAGCGAAAGCAUUAAGUAAUCCACCUGGGAAGUACGACCGCAAGGUUG
rnacentral:rRNA from 1 species